UACGGAGGGUGCAAGCGUUAUCCGGAUUCACUGGGUUUAAAGGGUGCGUAGGUGGGUUGGUAAGUCAGUGGUGAAAUCUCCGAGCUUAACUUGGAAACUGCCAUUGAUACUAUCAGUCUUGAAUAUUGUGGAGGUCAGCGGAAUAUGUCAUGUAGCGGUGAAAUGCUUAGAUAUGACAUAGAACACCAAUUGCGAAGGCAGCUGGCUACACAUAUAUUGACACUGAGGCCCGAAAGCGUGGGGAUCAAACAGG
rnacentral:rRNA from 1 species